rnacentral:rRNA from 1 species
UACGUAGGGUGCAAGCGUUUGUCCGGAAUUAUUGGGCGUAAAGAGCUCGUAGGCGGUUUGUCGCGUCGGCUGUGAAAGCCCGGAGCUCAACUCCGGGUCUGCAGUCGAUACGGGCAGACUUGAGUGUUGCAGGGGAGACUGGAAUUCCUGGUGUAGCGGUGAAAUGCGCAGAUAUCAGGAGGAACACCGGUGGCGAAGGCGGGUCUCUGGGCAUGUCCUGACGUGAGGAGCGAAAGUGUGGGGAGCGAACAGG